UUCAAUCCAAAAAUGACGAGGUCGAUUUUGUUUCGCCACCGACCAAGUAAAUCAUUUUUCGAUAUCUAAAGUAUUUUUUAUAAUAACCGGGAAAACCCAAAAAGACGAAAUAUACGAUUUUUUUCAAAUUACAACACAACGAUUUCAUUAUUUUAAAUUUGUACGGCUUAUGUUUUCUAUCAUUAAUAUUGCUCCAAUAGAUAAAAGACGAG